rnacentral:rRNA from 1 species
GAGUUUGAUCAUGGCUCAGAUUGAACGCUGGCGGCAGGCCUAACACAUGCAAGUCGAACGGUAACAGGAAGAAGCUUGCUUCUUUGCUGACGAGUGGCGGACGGGUGAGUAAUGUCUGGGAAACUGCCUGAUGGAGGGGGAUAACUACUGGAAACGGUAGCUAAUACCGCAUAACGUCGCAAGACCAAAGAGGGGGACCUUCGGGCCUCUUGCCAUCGGAUGUGCCCAGAUGGGAUUAGCUAGUAGGUGGGGUAACGGCUCACCUAGGCGACGAUCCCUAGCUGGUCUGAGAGGAUGACCAGCCACACUGGAACUGAGACACGGUCCAGACUCCUACGGGAGGCAGCAGUGGGGAAUAUUGCACAAUGGGCGCAAGCCUGAUGCAGCCAUGCCGCGUGUAUGAAGAAGGCCUUCGGGUUGUAAAGUACUUUCAGCGGGGAGGAAGGGAGUAAAGUUAAUACCUUUGCUCAUUGACGUUACCCGCAGAAGAAGCACCGGCUAACUCCGUGCCAGCAGCCGCGGUAGUACGGAGGGUGCAAGCGUUAAUCGGAAUUACUGGGCGUAAAGCGCACGCAGGCGGUUUGUUAAGUCAGAUGUGAAAUCCCCGGGCUCAACCUGGGAACUGCAUCUGAUACUGGCAAGCUUGAGUCUCGUAGAGGGGGGUAGAAUUCCAGGUGUAGCGGUGAAAUGCGUAGAGAUCUGGAGGAAUACCGGUGGCGAAGGCGGCCCCCUGGACGAAGACUGACGCUCAGGUGCGAAAGCGUGGGGAGCAAACAGGAUUAGAUACCCUGGUAGUCCACGCCGUAAACGAUGUCGACUUGGAGGUUGUGCCCUUGAGGCGUGGCUUCCGGAGCUAACGCGUUAAGUCGACCGCCUGGGGAGUACGGCCGCAAGGUUAAAACUCAAAUGAAUUGACGGGGGCCCGCACAAGCGGUGGAGCAUGUGGUUUAAUUCGAUGCAACGCGAAGAACCUUACCUGGUCUUGACAUCCACGGAAGUUUUCAGAGAUGAGAAUGUGCCUUCGGGAACCGUGAGACAGGUGCUGCAUGGCUGUCGUCAGCUCGUGUUGUGAAAUGUUGGGUUAAGUCCCGCAACGAGCGCAACCCUUAUCCUUUGUUGCCAGCGGUCCGGCCGGGAACUCAAAGGAGACUGCCAGUGAUAAACUGGAGGAAGGUGGGGAUGACGUCAAGUCAUCAUGGCCCUUACGACCAGGGCUACACACGUGCUACACUGGCGCAUACAAAGAGAAGCGACCUCGCGAGAGCAAGCGGACCUCAUAAAGUGCGUCGUAGUCCGGAUUGGAGUCUGCAACUCGACUCCAUGAAGUCGGAAUCGCUAGU